AGUGGCGGACGGGUGAGUAACGCGUGAGAAUCUGCCUUGGGGUCGGGGACAACCACUGGAAACGGUGGCUAAUACCGGAUAAGCCGAUUGGUGAAAGAUUUAUUGCCCGAAGAGGAGCUCGCGUCUGAUUAGCUAGUUGGUGAGGUAAGAGCUCACCAAGGCAGCGAUCAGUAGCUGGUCUGAGAGGACGAUCAGCCACACUGGGACUGAGACACGUCCCAGACUCCUACGGGAGGCAGCAGUGGGGAAUUUUCCGCAAUGGGCGAAAGCCUGACGGAGCAAGACCGCGUGAGGGAGGAAGGCUCUUGGGUUGUAAACCUCUUUUCUCAGGGAAGAAGCUCUGACGGUACCUGAGGAAUCAGCCUCGGCUAACUCCGUGCCAGCAGCCGCGGUAAUACGGAGGAGGCAAGCGUUAUCCGGAAUUAUUGGGCGUAAAGCGUCCGCAGGUGGCGAUUCAAGUCUGCUGUCAAAGCACGGGGCUUAACUCCGUAAAGGCAGUGGAAACUGAAUAGCUAGAGUGCCGUAGGGGUAGAGGGAAUUCCCGGUGUAGCGGUGAAAUGCGUAGAGAUCGGGAAGAACAUCGGUGGCGAAAGCGCUCUACUGGACGGCAACUGACACUCAGGGACGAAAGCUAGGGGAGCGAAUGGGAUUAGAUACCCC
rnacentral:rRNA from 1 species